rnacentral:rRNA from 1 species
UACGUAGGGGGCAAGCGUUGUCCGGAAUCAUUGGGCGUAAAGAGCGCGUAGGCGGUCCGGUAAGUCCGCUCUGAAAGUCCGGGGCUCAACCCCGGGAGGCGGGCGGAUACUGUCGGGCUAGAGUCCGGAAGAGGCGAGUGGAAUUCCUGGUGUAGCGGUGAAAUGCGCAGAUAUCAGGAGGAACACCGGUGGCGAAGGCGGGUCUCUGGGCCGAUACUGACGCUGAGAAGCGAAAGCGUGGGGAGCGAACAGG